CUGGGGAGCCGCUGUGGUACAUAUACAGGGCAGUCCAGUGGGAGCUGACACUUUGCUCGCAAGCUUAUCCUGAGCUCAACGUGUCGCGGGAGGGUGUAAAUGGGAACGCGGACGACAAUGUCGGAAAAUCUCCCGGUGAUUGACUAUGUGUUAAUCUAUGAAUUUGAGGUUGGACGCAGUGAUCCUUAUGCUGAACAGAGGAUGGAGUUUCUGAGAGAGGUGCAGGACACCGGGCUGCAGUUCGAGCUCAAUAUAUCCAGGGAGGACUGGGAGGCAGAAGCGGAGACUCAGCGGAAAGUAGCCAAAGACAAGUAUCGAAUUGUUAAAAUCUAUGCUCCCUUUGAGCUCUUAAGCCAAACAGCUGAGAGGAUGAGAUUGAAGAUGCCUUUGGCAGAGGGUGUUGAUGUGAAAUUGCCUGGGCGCUUACAGAGAUUCAUGGCUCGUUUCGCAACUGAAGUCGUGGUCAACUUUAUCAGUGCACACUAUGAACACAACAAAAGGCAUCUAUUCCGAGGAUGUGAAAAUGAGGAAACAUUUUUUCGCCCUGCCAUGAGAUCUCUAAUUGUUCACUACAUCCUCACAAACAUACCCAUAGAUAUUAAGGCUGCUGAUGCGGGAGUAGUAACACGCAAGGUUCGAGGAAAAGUUCCAGCUCUGCCAUACUUAGUUAUGAAGAAGGCAUUUAAAUCUGCUUUUAUACUACAUGACUUGAAAAUAUGUGAAUUUGAUGUGGCAUCCAGUCAAUCAUCGCAACAAGACAGCGGUGAUACCAAACCAACCACACCACCUAUGGAUGAAUGGACAAUGCUUAAUAACUUAUGGGCAAACACCUACCUAAAAUUCCAGCCCCUCUGGAAAAUACGCAAUUACUUUGGUGAAAAAAUCGCACUUUAUUUUGCUGUGAUGGAGACACUUUUAAUUAGUCUCAUUAUCCCUGUGCUCCUUGGCUUGGGCAUUUUCAUUUAUGGCCUUUAUUGCAGUAUAUCCUGUUACAAUGGCAGCAACAAUCUCGAUGAGUUUUUGCGUGGACAUGAUUUCAAUGAUGUUUGUUUAUCUUCAAACUCGAUCACAGUAGUGGUAGACGAGGCUGUGGAUAGAAUUCGGGAUGUAUGUAAUAAUAUUGCUGGAAGGAAAAUUAUAAUUGAAAAAGCACUUAAUACAACGUGUACUGAUAAGAACUGGAAAAAUGCAAAUUUUCAGAUUUCUUCUGGUGAUUUCUUUACUGUGAUCCAAUCUUCCUUUGAUAAUGAAGCAACACCCUGGUUUGGUCUCAUUGUUUGUCUGUGGGGAACAGUUUUUUUGGAAAUGUGGAAAAGGAUUAAUGCAAAACUAGUUUAUGAAUGGGAUGUUGACAACUUUGAAAAUGAUGAGCCACCCAGACCUGAGUUUUAUGGAACAAAUGUUAAAAAGGACCCAGUAACAACUGAAUUUGAACCUUACUACCCAGGCACUCUGAGACGUACAAAAAUGCUAUUUUCAUUUUUUGUGGGGAUUCUCAUGGUUUGCUGUGUAUUCGCCAGUCUUAUUGCAGUGGUUAUAUACAAAACAUGGGCAAGGCUGAGAAUAACAACUUCCAACUCUAUAGAGAGUUUUCUGUUAACUACAGUUGGUGCCUCACUCCUCAAUGUAGUAUCUAUUAUAAUUCUGGGAAAGGUAUAUCAUAUAAUUGCAGUUAAAAUGACAGAUUGGGAAAACCAUAGGACUCAGACCAACUACAAUGAUGCUUUGAUAUUAAAGUUGUUUGCCUUCCACUUUGCCAAUAGUUACGCCUCUCUGUUUUACAUUGCAUUUCUGAGAAAGAGCAAUCAGAAAUUCUUUCAAUUACUUGGACUGACUGAUUUUGAAGAUAAUUGUGGAGUGCUGAACAAUUGUAUGUCAGAGCUUGGUGUACAAGUUGUUAUACUCAUGAUCUUCAAACUAUUUCCAAAACUGUUCACGGAUAUUUUCAUACCAUGGUUGCAAAAAAUUAAAAACAGAAUCUACCGAAAAUUAAAAGUGUCAUUAUCUGCACAAAAUACUUCACAAUUCACAAUGGAUGAUUGUAUUAUUAAAGAAUCUAUGAAACCAGACCUUGGAGAUUUCACACUUGAGGAAUACACCGAGAAAAUCAUACAGUAUGGUUACCAAAUGCUUUUUUCCAUUUCCUUUCCUCUGGCACCACUCCUUUUUUUCAUAACCAUUCUGUGUGACAUACGUGUUGAUGCCAAGCGACUGUUAUGGAUGUAUAAACGCCCCAUUGCUUUCAUGGCUCAAGACAUUGGUCAAUGGUUGACAAUAUUAGAUCUGAUAAAUGGAGUAGCGGUGGUGACCAAUGCCUGUGUGAUUGCUUUCAACACAGAUUUUGCGAGGGAACGGCCCUUUCAUGAACAACUGGUCAUCCUCAUUGUAAUUGAGCAUAUAGUGUUUGUGGCAAAGUUUCUGCUGUCAACUAUCAUACCAGAUGUUCCUCAACACAUACUCCUGGCAAUGAGGAAGGAGAAAUACCAAGUGGCAACAAAAAUGAGAGGUUAUCCGAGCAGCCUUCACCAAUUCCAACGAUUCUAAUCUCUCAAGACGUACUUACUUCGUACUGUGAAGCAAUUUUGGGGAAUUUAGUUGCCUUAAAGACAGUCCUACAGAAACGAUUGGAUCUAAACUGCACUUUAUUCCUGUAAUUCCUAAUGAAUCACACUGUGGAUACACCAUUCAAGAUCAACAAAUUCCUUUUGUGAAGUUGAAUAAUUUGGCAUGCUGAUUUAUUUUAUUGCAUUGUACUUAAUGAGAUUUUCUCUUUUUUUUGAUAUGAAGUAGAUUAAGAUUAUUAUUUAAUUCAUGGCUUUAUUUUUAACAAAAUGACAGUUAAACAACUUGUACAUUCUAGUUCAUCAAUGGACCAAAACUUGCUGUUUUCAAAGAUAUUCUGAACUAAAUAGAGCAUUUGUAUACCUAAGGGCAAAAGUGACAUAUAUUAAAAUGAACCUAAUGAUACUGUUGUGCUUUAGUAUUGAGAUGAAUAUUAUUCCUCAUUUUACUUAAUAUGCAUCUGCUAAAUAUAAUCUCUUAAAGACUGAACAUUACUAUGCUUUGAAAAAAUGAAUUGUGUGAAGAACAAAUUGUUUGCAAUCUGUUCACUAAAAUCUUUAAAAUGGCAAUUUUUGUAAAAUGCAAUCCUGUCUUUACCAUUUCAAUAAGGGCAAAAAGAAAUGCAUUCCAGGUCACUGGCAAAGCUAAAAUGAGUACCUUGCCCUGCUGUAGUAUUUUAAAACAAAAAAAACACCACUGCUUUAAGCCAAAUAACACUUGUGAAAAUAGAAUAAUGCAGCAUUAUGUUAGGUCAGCUUUUACACAAUGUCAUUUAUAAAUGUUGAUAUUUUUAUGAGCCAUUUAAAGUUAGUCCGGUCCUCCUCACAGAAAUCAGUGUGCAUCUUAUUCUGGUUGACUCCAGUUAUAAGGGGUCAAUGUAAACAUUCAAAUGUGUACAGUAAUGUUCAUGUUUUUUAAAUUUACUUAGUGACAUUUAAGGACAAUGUUAAACAAUUGAAUGUAGGACUUCAACUGCCUUGGUUUAUGAAUGUUCUCAAACUCCAGUUGAAUUGCUGCCUUCAAUGCUCUUAUUGAUAAUUUGUGAUGAUUCCUUGUUCAAUUAUGGUACUAUCCAGUAGUGAUUGAAUAUGAGCUGGUUAGUGGUGAACUGUUUGUUGCACGUUGCAAAGACCAGUUAUUGGACUGAAGAUUAUUUUGAACCAAAAAGAAAGGCCUCCAGAUUUUCAUCACAGUAGAUCAGAAGGAAAAGCUGUGUACAUAUUUUAAAGCAGUUAAUGGGUUUUAUGUUCAGAAAUUUAUUUGUGAAGUGACAACUGGAAAAAUGCUGUGGAAAAAGGAGUGCAUGUCAAUUUAUCUUGAUUUUAUUGGACUUUAGAGUUGGUUAAGGAGGAAGAACACAAAGCAACAGUUUCAUCCAUGUACAUUUUUAAAUUAUGAACUCACUUCAAAUGUUAAUAGCUGUAAAUUUGUCACUAGAGCUUAUUGAAUCACUAUAAAAACAAAAUGUCAUCUUCAGUGAACAACAAGAGGAUGCUAUGAAACAAAAGAUUGCUGUUGUCCUCUCCCACACUGAAUUGUCCCAUUAUGGGAAGGAAUUACACAGCCCUCUAUAUUACACUCAAACAAUAUUCCAAUUUAGAUUUUUAAUCUCUUCAGAAUUUAAAUGCAAAUUUGUCACAACCUUUUUUUUUUUACAUUCUAUGGUGUAGUUAUAGCAAGCCACAUUUUUGUUCUCAUUUUUAUUUUGUCAUAAAACACAUUGUGACACCAAGGGUUACUAUAAACUAAGUUAUUCAAGUAUGGUAUAUACUUCAAUAAUUGCUAACAUAGUGUAUGACCAGUUACCCUGCUCUUUAACAUCACUGUAUUAUUUUUGGUAUCCCUCAAUUCCUGGGUAUUUUGUGGCACAUAGUUUGAUGUCAUAGGAUAAAGAUCAUGUCCCUUGUCACCAUAAGACUUGUCAAGCAGACAACUUGGUGGAAAACUAACUCAUUUUGGUUUGGUGUCACUGUUGCAUUUAAUUGAAGCCUUUUUUAAAGUGAUCCAACUUGUUUCGAUUAUGUACACUCCUAGCAUUUUCCAGAUGUUGACUACUGAGGAUGCAAUGCUUCAAUCUCUGUUUACAAUGAUAUAAGAACCCCCCCAUAUUUCAAUUCAAGUGAUCACCUAAAAUUUUAGCAUUUCUGGUCAGUCAGCAAGAAAUGGUAACUUCCAUGUAUUCUAGCUUAAAUUAUAUUGGAGGUUUUAAAGCUAUAGUCUAAGAAUGUAAAUGAAUUAUUUAUGUAAUAUUUACUUAAUUGAUGUUUGUACAAAGCUUUGAAAAUGACUGUAGCUGGAAGCUUAUUUUAAGUAUUAAAAUAAAUAUCUUUCCUUUU